rnacentral:rRNA from 1 species
AUAUUGCGCAAUGGGGGCAACCCUGACGCAGCAACGCCGCGUGAUUGAAGAAGGCCUUCGGGUUGUAAAGAUCUUUAAUUAGGGACGAAUAAUGACGGUACCUAAAGAAUAAGCUCCGGCUAACUACGUGCCAGCAGCCGCGGUAAUACGUAGGGAGCGAGCGUUAUCCGGAUUUACUGGGUGUAAAGGGCGUGUAGGCGGGGAAGCAAGUCAGAUGUGAAAACCAGUGGCUCAACCACUGGCCUGCAUUUGAAACUGUUUUUCUUGAGUGAUGGAGAGGCAGGCGGAAUUCCGUGUGUAGCGGUGAAAUGCGUAGAUAUACGGAGGAACACCAGUGGCGAAGGCGGCCUGCUGGACAUUAACUGACGCUGAGGCGCGAAAGCGUGGGGAGCAAACA